rnacentral:rRNA from 1 species
CCUACGGGUGGCUGCAGUGAGGAAUAUUGGUCAAUGGACGAGAGUCUGAACCAGCCAAGUAGCGUGGAGGAUGACUGCCCUAUGGGUUGUAAACUUCUUUUAUAUGGGAAUAAAACGUUCCACGUGUGGGAUUUUGUAUGUACCAUAUGAAUAAGGAUCGGCUAACUCCGUGCCAGCAGCCGCGGUAAUACGGAGGAUCCGAGCGUUAUCCGGAUUUAUUGGGUUUAAAGGGAGCGUAGAUGGGUUGUUAAGUCAGUUGUGAAAGUUUGCGGCUCAACCGUAAAAUUGCAAUUGAUACUGGCAGUCUUGAGUACAGUUGAGGUAGGCGGAAUUCGUGGUGUAGCGGUGAAAUGCUUAGAUAUCACGAAGAACUCCGAUUGCGAAGGCAGCAUACCGGCGCCCGACUGACGCUGAGGCACGAAAGCGUGGGGAUCGAACAGGAUUAGAUACCCGAGUAGUC